GGAGAUGUGGCUCAGUGGUAGAGUGCUUGCCUUGCAAGCAUGAGGCCCUGGGUUUGAUUCCCAGCACCA
rnacentral:tRNA from 1 species